GAUGAACGCUGGCGGCGUGCCUAAUACAUGCAAGUCGAGCGAACGGACGAGAAGCUUGCUUCUCUGAUGUUAGCGGCGGACGGGUGAGUAACACGUGGAUAACCUACCUAUAAGACUGGGAUAACUUCGGGAAACCGUAGCUAAUACCGGAUAAUAUUUUGAACCGCAUGGUUCAAAAGUGAAAGACGGUCUUGCUGUCACUUAUAGAUGGAUCCGCGCUGCAUUAGCUAGUUGGUAAGGUAACGGCUUACCAAGGCAACGAUGCAUAGCCGACCUGAGAGGGUGAUCGGCCACACUGGAACUGAGACACGGUCCAGACUCCUACGGGAGGCAGCAGUAGGGAAUCUUCCGCAAUGGGCGAAAGCCUGACGGAGCAACGCCGCGUGAGUGAUGAAGGUCUUCGGAUCGUAAAACUCUGUUAUUAGGGAAGAACAUAUGUGUAAGUAACUGUGCACAUCUUGACGGUACCUAAUCAGAAAGCCACGGCUAACUACGUGCCAGCAGCCGCGGUAAUACGUANGUGGCAAGCGUUAUCCGGAAUUAUUGGGCGUAAAGCGCGCGUAGGCGGUUUUUUAGUCUGAUGUGAAAGCCCACGGCUCAACCGUGGAGGGUCAUUGGAAACUGGAAAACUUGAGUGCAGAAGAGGAAAGUGGAAUUCCAUGUGUAGCGGUGAAAUGCGCAGAGAUAUGGAGGAACACCAGUGGCGAAGGCGACUUUCUGGUCUGUAACUGACGCUGAUGUGCGAAAGCGUGGGGAUCAAACAGGAUUAGAUACCCUGGUAGUCCACGCCGUAAACGAUGAGUGCUAAGUGUUAGGGGGUUUCCGCCCCUUAGUGCUGCAGCUAACGCAUUAAGCACUCCGCCUGGGGAGUACGACCGCAAGGUUGAAACUCAAAGGAAUUGACGGGGACCCGCACAAGCGGUGGAGCAUGUGGUUUAAUUCGAAGCAACGCGAAGAACCUUACCAAAUCUUGACAUCCUUUGACAACUCUAGAGAUAGAGCCUUCCCCUUCGGGGGACAAAGUGACAGGUGGUGCAUGGUUGUCGUCAGCUCGUGUCGUGAGAUGUUGGGUUAAGUCCCGCAACGAGCGCAACCCUUAAGCUUAGUUGCCAUCAUUAAGUUGGGCACUCUAAGUUGACUGCCGGUGACAAACCGGAGGAAGGUGGGGAUGACGUCAAAUCAUCAUGCCCCUUAUGAUUUGGGCUACACACGUGCUACAAUGGACAAUACAAAGGGCAGCGAAACCGCGAGGUCAAGCAAAUCCCAUAAAGUUGUUCUCAGUUCGGAUUGUAGUCUGCAACUCGACUACAUGAAGCUGGAAUCGCUAGUAAUCGUAGAUCAGCAUGCUACGGUGAAUACGUUCCCGGGUCU
rnacentral:rRNA from 1 species